rnacentral:rRNA from 1 species
ACAAUGGGCACAAGCCUGAUGCAGCCAUGCCGCGUGUAUGAAGAAGGCCUUCGGGUUGUAAAGUACUUUCAGCAGUGAGGUAAGGUGGGUAUGUUAAUAGCAUACUCAUUUGACGUUAGCUGCAGAAGAAGCACCGGCUAACUCCGUGCCAGCUAGCCGCGGUAAUACGGAGGGUGCGAGCGUUAAUCGGAAUUACUGGGCGUAAAGCGCAUGCAGGUGGUUGUUAAGUCAGAUGUGAAAGCCCGGGGCUCAACCUCGGAAUUGCAUUUGAAACUGGCAAACUAGAGUACUGUAGAGGGGGUAGAAUUUCAGGUGUAGCGGUGAAAUGCGUAGAGAUCUGAAGGAAUACCGGUGGCGAAGGCGGCCCCCUGGACAGAUACUGACACUCAGAUGCGAAAGCGUGGGGAGCAAACAGGAUUAGAUACCCUGGUAG